rnacentral:rRNA from 1 species
GGGGGAUAUUGCACAAUGGGGGGAACCCUGAUGCAGCGACGCCGCGUGGGUGAAGAAGCGCCUCGGCGCGUAAAGCCCUGUCAGCAGGGAAGAAAAUGACGGUACCUGAAGAAGAAGCCCCGGCUAACUACGUGCC